rnacentral:lncRNA from 1 species
UGUAGCCUGAGCUGCUCUGGAACUUGCUAUGUAGAUCAGGUGGAUCAAAAGCUUGCAGAAAUCCUCUGGCCUCUACCCCCCAAGGUCUGGGAUUUAAGUCUGUGCGAGGGUGUUGGAUCUCUUAGAUCUGGAGUUAUAGACAGCUGUGAACUGGCAUGUGGAUGCUGGGAAUUGAAUCUGGGUCCUCUGGAAGAGCAACGAGUGCUCUCAACUGCUUUUCUUUAAAAGUAUUUUCAAAAUAUAUUUUAUUUCCUUCUCAUAUAUACUUUGCAAAAACUACCAGGUCAAAUGGUUAGCAUCGCUCAGAAACAGGAGUCCUUCCAGCAGAAUUCAUCCCCGAUGAUCAGUCUGGCAUGGAAAGUAAGCCUGUUACCACAGCCAAAGCUCUCAGGAGUUUUCCUUGUUUUCCAUUGCCCAGCCCCCUGUGCCAGCUUGGUGCGUCUGGGAAUUUGUGCCAGCCAGUGACACUGAUGUCCACCUUGCACUCAGAGCGUGUUCUCUUAAAGAUGCCAUACAGAAUCUUGACACCGGCUGCAAGACGCCCGCCACUCUACCCCUCAGCGUCAUCCUCGUCAUCUUUGGCUCUGAAGUGCAUUUUUCUGAAUUCGCUUCUGCUCAUGGAAGGAUAAGAUGAAGAGGUUGGUGGCAGAUCCUGCAUAAGCUCGACAUUCCCGAAGAAGCGACUCAGACAUGGGCUGGUUGCUGUCAUCAUCUAGAAAGAUGCUGCUGUCCAUCUGAAGCAUGGAUGCCCGCACCUCCUCUGUCCUGGGCACAGGCUCUGCCUGUCGGGCAGAGCUGUCAUCGGGCUCCUGGGCUGCAGCGGCACUGCUGGGUUCUGUGGACAGGCCAUUCUCAGCCUUUACUGAGGGUUCCUCACUCGCAGGCUUGGAGCAGCCCUGAGGAGGCUCUCUGCUCUCUGGUACAGAGACAGCAGCCUCAGCACUGCCCUCCGCAAACUUAUUUUCACAAGGAGCCACGGGGGGGCCACUUUUGGCAAAGAAGAAAUGUCACUCUUAGGAUCAAGUUUUUGUAAUUCUGCCUUCACAAGGUGACCUUUGUCAUACUUGAACUUUUUGGAAGUUCGUCUGUGUGAUGAGGAAGCCAGACAUGUUGUUUUGGCAGAUGUGGAGCUGGUAACGUCCCUGGCAGAGGCCAAGCUGGCUGAAGAGUAACACCGCCCGAAGGCGUGCUGAGGACCGCACUCUACCUGUAAGCUCCUGUCACACUGCCGUCCUCAGCCCAGGUUACACACGACACAGGGGCUUGGCUGAGCUCGCUCGGCUGCAGCAUGUCCAUCUGUGGGCAUUGCGGGAGGUCAGGAAGCCCGGGCAGCAGCCCGCACGGCCGUGGGCAAAGCUCGGGUCCGGGUGGCCCUCACCCCGGGGAGCGAG